AAUGGCUCAUUAAAUCAGUUAUCGUUUAUUUGAAAAUACCUUACUACUUGGAUAACCGUGGUAAUUCUAGAGCUAAUACAUGCUAAAAACCCCGACUUCGGGAGGGGUGUAUUUAUUAGAUAAAAAACCAAUGCCCUCCGGGGCUCCUUGGUGAUUCACAAUAACUUCUCGGAUCGCAUGGCUUUACGCCGGCGACGGUUCAUUCAAAUUUCUGCCCUAUCAACUUUCGAUGGUAAGGUAGUGGCUUACCAUGGUUUCAACGGGUAACGGGGAAUUAGGGUUCGAUUCCGGAGAGGGAGCCUGAGAAACGGCUACCACAUCCAAGGAAGGCAGCAGGCGCGCAAAUUACACAAUUCCGACUCGGAGAUGUAGUGACAAUACAUACUGAUACAGGGCUCUUUUGGGUCUUGUAAUUGGAAUGAGUACAAUUUAAACCUCUUAACGAGGAACAAUUGGAGGGCAAGUCUGGUGCCAGCAGCCGCGGUAAUUCCAGCUCCAAUAGCGUAUAUUAAAGUUGUUGCAGUUAAAAAGCUCGUAGUUGAACCUUUGGCCUGGCUGGCAGGUCCGCCUCACCGCGUGCACUUGUCCGGCCGGGCCUUUUCUUCUGGAGAACCGCAUGCCCUUCACUGGGUGUGUUGGGGACCAGGACUUUUACUUUGAAAAAAUUAGAGUGUUCAAAGCAGGCCUUUGCUCGAAUACGUUAGCAUGGAAUAAUGGAAUAGGACGUGCGGUCCUAUUUUGUUGGUUUCUAGGACCGCCGUAAUGAUUAAUAGGGACAGUCGGGGGCAUCAGUAUUCAAUUGUCAGAGGUGAAAUUCUUGGAUUUAUUGAAGACUAACUACUGCGAAAGCAUUUGCCAAGGAUGUUUUCAUUAAUCAGUGAACGAAAGUUAGGGGAUCGAAGACGAUCAGAUACCGUCGUAGUCUUAACCAUAAACUAUGCCGACUAGGGAUCGGGCGGUGUUUCUAUUGUGACCCGCUCGGCACCU
rnacentral:rRNA from 1 species